rnacentral:rRNA from 1 species
AACGAACGCUGGCGGCAUGCCUAACACAUGCAAGUCGAACGAGACCUUCGGGUCUAGUGGCGCACGGGUGCGUAACGCGUGGGAACCUGCCCUUAGGUUCGGAAUACCUCCCCGAAAGGGGUCCUAAUACCGGUUAAUGUCUUCGGACCAAAGAUUUCUCGCUUUUGGGUGGGCCCGCGUUGGAUUAGCUAGUUGGUAGGGUAAAAGCCUACCAAGGCGACGAUCCAUAGCUGGUCUGAGAGGAUGAUCAGCCACACUGGGACUGAGACACGGCCCAGAAUCCUACGGGGGGGAGCAGUAGGGAAUAUUAGGCAAGGGGCGAAAGCCUGAUCAAGCAAUGCCGGGUGAGUGAUGAAGGCCGUAGGGUUGUAAAGCUCUUUUACCCGGGAUGAUAAUGACAGUACCGGGAGAAUAAGCUCCGGCUAACUACGUG